rnacentral:rRNA from 1 species
GUGGCGAACGGGUGAGUAACACGUGGGCAACCUGCCCCUGGCUCUGGGAUAACUCCAAGAAAUUGGGGCUAAUACCGGAUAUGACUGCUGACCGCAUGGUCUGGUGGUGGAAAGAUUUAUCGGCUGGGGAUGGGCCCGCGGCCUAUCAGCUUGUUGGUGGGGUAGUGGCCUACCAAGGCGACGACGGGUAGCCGGCCUGAGAGGGUGACCGGCCACACUGGGACUGAGACACGGCCCAGACUCCUACGGGAGGCAGCAGUGGGGAAUAUUGCGCAAUGGGCGGAAGCCUGACGCAGCGACGCCGCGUGGGGGAUGACGGCCUUCGGGUUGUAAACCUCUUUCAGCAGGGACGAAGCGAAAGUGACGGUACCUGCAGAAGAAGCACCGGCCAACUACGUGCCAGCAGCCGCGGUAAUACGUAGGGUGCAAGCGUUGUCCGGAAUUAUUGGGCGUAAAGAGCUCGUAGGCGGUUCGUCGCGUCGGCUGUGAAAUCCCGAGGCUCAACCUCGGGCCUGCAGUCGAUACGGGCGGACUUGAGUUCGGCAGGGGAGACUGGAAUUCCUGGUGUAGCGGUGAAAU